rnacentral:misc_RNA from 1 species
ACAGUGUCUUUACGUUUACAGUAUCAUUGAUUAUGAACUUUUGCUCCAUUAGAACAACUUCCUCAUAGUAUUUACGCAAACGACCUUCUACCAUUUUCUCUAUUGCCAUCUGAGACUUCCCUGUGCUUUCCGCCUGAGACUUAAGAAUUUCACGUUCACUUUCCAAUGCACUAGAGGAGACAAGUUCUUUGGUCAAGAACAACGGCUUUGCUGCCACCACAUGCAUUGCCAGUUCCGAACCAACGCGCUGGAGAGCUUCCAACUGGGAAUUCCCAUCCUCUAUUUCAAGAGAUAAAAGUCCAGCAAUACGACCCAAACCCGGUUGAGGACUUGUAUGGAGAUAGAUGGACAGAACAGCAGUUGAAGAUGUAGACAUAACAAAGCUCCUUCUGAGUCUCACAUUCUCACCCAUCAUUGCAGCUAUUUCUGUAAUUGCAUUUUGAACAGU